CACGAAGGGAGAUAACUUAGUCUGUUGUAAAAAAUGGCGGUGAUUUUAUUGACGCCGACAAUUACAUCAGAGAGGAAGAAAUCAAAACGUGCGAACGUUUUGUUUUUUUGGCAAGACGUGGGUCACCGAAGUCUACAGAUAAUGGAUGCAUUUUUACAUCUGCUGUGUUUGCCUUUGGAUGGCAGUGUUCUCCAUGUAGCAAGUACAGUAUGGACUGCCAUAUUUUUGGGACAAGACCCUGAUAAACACAGGUAUUUAAGCGAGGUGCAGAUACUGGAGUAUGAUCAUCUGGUUGGUGCAGUCAAUGAGGGUGGAUUCCACUGGUCUCUUAUAGUUGUGCAACCGAAAGACAACAAAGUUUUGUACAUAAAUCCGAUGGGGGAGCAGAAUGUUUCCCAGCAACAGAUCCUGCAACAAUGGAUGUAAAUGUGUACAUUAUUUAAUUAAACAGUAAAUUUGUGCACAUUCGGCGCUUAUCCAGCAUUGAUAUGGGCGGACCAAUACAUUGGAACAUACUCUGCCCACGUCAUGCAAAACAGUCAGAUUCAAUAUCUUGCGGUGUCUACGUUUUAAAGUAAGCAGAAUGCUACCUGCAGAAUCAAUCCCUAGAGUUUGUGCUCAGCAAAACACAACUACUAGAAGAACGGAGACAAAUAGCCAGAAGACUGCUUUCUGAAGGGGAAUUCAUUGAAGGUCAUCUAGAAGAGAUAGCAAGUAGCCCAUCAGUCGAACAUGAGAACUCGGACCAGCUCGCAAACACCCCUGCCUCUGCCAUGGAGUUGGAAGGGCGAGACACUGACCCAGUAGUCGAUCAUGUGGCAACAACUAGGAACUCGGACCAGCUGGCAAACAACCCUGCCUCUGCCAUGGAGUUGGAAGGGGGGAGACACUGACCCAGUGGUCGAUCAUGUAGCAACAGCCAGGGUGAGUCAAAGCGGACACAGUUGAUGAGGAAAUAUGCAUCCAGCAUUGGAAGCACAAUUUUUCUUUAAAAAAAUACAAUUUAUUUAAUUUAAUUUACAUAAUGCCCUGUCUGUUGGUUUGUUUGUUUGUGCAAACCUUAACAUUUGCAAUAACUUUAUUAAAGUACCUUUAAUAUUAAAGGUAGCAACUUCAUAUAUAGCAUGCAUGUGCAUCUCAAGGAGCUACACACUUUGAGUUGUGUAAGGUCAAGGUAUUUUUUUUUUGGUAAAAUUGAUGAAUUAAUAUGAUAUCUCUUUGCAAAUUGUUUUAAAAUUAUUACAUAACUUGUUUCAGAAACAUUGUUUAAUAACAUUCAAUUGUCAUUUAUUCGAAUUUGAAAGUUGUCAAAAGUAAUUAUUUCUCCCUAUACGGUAGCUUUAGGUAUAUGUGAUAUUUCAUGAGAAAACUAGUCUUCAUUGCAUUACAAAUUAAUGAAGCAUUCUUUACAUUUGCUUUUAUAACAAAAAAACCUAGUUUAGACUUGUAAAAUUGAUAAAAAUAAUUAUUUGAACAUAAAGUUUGACCAGAGUGUACAAUUUAAACACACAAGUUUAUAACGACGUGUAUCUUGUGCUUUGCAUUUGUUUAAAAGUUGCCUUAUAAUUGUGCGAAGCAUGUCUUCUCAAAUUAAAAAUGCAUCUUAUUCAAAGGUGAUCAGAACUAAAUGUGUUUUUUUUAAUAAUUCAGGGAUAACAAAAAUCAGACUAAGAAACCAUAUGCAAUAAUUCAUAGUCUGUUGUCUUCACAGAGAGAAACUUCAAUAAAAAAUAUGCUGUCAUUUUAUAAUACCUUCGUGUUUGCCUCACGGUUGCCUAUUGAUUUGUUUUAAAAUAGGAAGUUUAUAAUGAGGUAUAUAACACAAAGAAAUUUCAUAUUUGAAUCAUUUUUAUGCUCCUCUAAAAAAUUCUUGUCUGAGCUUUUUCUCAGUAACUUAUUACGGGAAUUCAAUGAAACUUUAUGGGAAGCUUCACUACCAAGAGGAGAUGUGCAUGUUAUUAGCCAGUUAUGGUCGGAUGAUUUUUCACAGAGUUAUGGCCCAUUGAAAUUUUCCAUUUACUGUACAUAUUGUGCAUUCUUGUUCGGGCUAUUUCUCAGCAACUAAUGUCUGCAAUUGAAUGAAACUUUAUGGGAAGCUUCACUACCAACAGGACAUGUGCAUAUUAUCAGCAAGUUAUGGUCGGAUGAUUUUUCACAGAGUUAUGGCCCUUUGAAAUUUUCAAUAUACUGUACAUAUAGUGCAAUUCUUGUCUGGGCUAUUUAUCCCCAACUAAUGACUUGAAUUCAAUGAAGUUUUAUGGGAAGCUUAACUGCCUUGAAGAGAUGCGCGUGUUAUUUGUGGGUUCUGGUUAGAUGAUUUAUUUAGAGACUUAUGGCCCUUUGAAAUUGUUAAGUUGCUAAACCAUCCAUCCUAUUAUUUUGUCCAAAGUUAUGCCACUCAAGAUGUUUCCUUUUAUCUGAAUAUAUAGUGCAAUAUUGUGACCAAAAAAACUUUGGGGAGCUUCACCCAUCUCUGACGGCUUGUUUUAAUUAAAUAUUAAUUGUAAAUCCCAUAUCACCUUUUAUCAUACUUUUUUGUAAUUGACAACUUGGUUUUCUGACAAUUGUUUUCCUUGUUUUGUUUCAAAUAGGCAUGAUAUGGUUACUAUUAAAUCAACUUCAUAUGUUCUUCCCUUGUGAUAAGUAUUUUUAGCUCAUCUAUUUUUUGAAAAAAAAUUAUGAGCUAUUGUCAUCACCUUUGCGUUGGCGUCCGGUUAAGUUUUGCGUUUAGGUCCACUUUUCUCAGAAAGUAUCAAUGCUAUUGCAUUCAAACUUGGUACACUUACUUACCACCAUGAGAGGACUGGGCAGGCAAAGUUAGAUAACUCUGGCGUGCAAUUUGACAGAAUUAUGUGCCCUUUUUAUACUUAGAAAAUUGAAAAUUUUGGUUAAGUUUUGCGUUUAGGUCCACUUUUCUCAGAAAGUAUCAAUGCUAUUGCAUUCAAACUUGGAACACUUACUUACUAUCAUGAGGGGACUGGGCAGGCAAAGUUAGAUAACUCUGGCGUGCAUUUUGACAGAAUUAUGUGCCCUUUUUAUACUUAGAAAAUUGAAAAUUUUGGUUAAGUUUUGUGUUUAGGUCCAUUUUAUUCCGUAAGUAUCAAAGCUAUUGCUUUCAUACUUGCAACACUUACUAACUAUCAUAAGGGGACUGUGCAGGCAAAGUUAUGUAACUCUAACUGGCAUUUGGGCAGAAUUAUGGGCCCUUUAUACUUAGAAAAUUGAAAAUUUGGUUAAGUUUUGUGUUUUGGUCCACUUAACCCCUAAAGUAUCAUAGAUAUUGCUUUCAUACUUGGAACACUUGCAAACUAUCAUAAGGGUACAGUAAAAUGACAAGUUGCAUAACUCUGGUUGUCAUUUUUAUGGAAUUAUGGCCCUUUUUUGACUUAGUAACUUUGAAUAUAUGGUUAAAUUUUGUGUUUCGAUCCACUUUACUUCUUAACUAUCAAGGCUAUUGCUUUCAAACUUCAAAUACUUUCAUGCUAUCAUGAGGUGACUGUACCUGGCAAGUUGAAUUUUACCUUGAAUCCUACCCCCUACCCGAAUUGACCACCACACCCUCACACUAUACCACCCCACCUCCACCCAAAAUUUCAUUUUAUUUUAAUGGUUAAACCCCCUCCCCCCCCCCCCCCCCCCCCCCGAUUUUAUUUUUUUUCGCAUUUUUUUCCCCCUUUUUUUGAAAAUAAUGUCAUAAAUGUCCACAUUCCCAUGCUAUACACCCCUCUUCACUCCACCCCUCCCUCCUUUGUGAUUGAAAAUGAGAGUCCCUUCACCUUUAAAAAGAAAAUAGAUGAGCGGUCUGCACCCGCAAGGCGGUGCUCUUGUUUAUAUCUAUUUCUUAAUAUUUUUCAGUAGUAAUAAUGUCUAAGAAUGUAUCUGGGUAGAAUGAAUAUCUGUUCUUUUAAAGGUUGUAACUGAUGCUCUAUUUCUUUUGGACAUGACAUGUUACUGUCUCGUUUGUACAGAGAUUCAAUUAAAUACUACAUUUUAUUAUGUGUGAUUCUAUUUUUGUGUUCCAAAUAGGCAGUCUGACAUAUUAGGUAUAUUGAAAACUCUUACAUAUAACAUUUGUAAGUAUCUGUUAUUAAUGACAGUUAAAUGAAACAAUGGUUGUAUAGUUGUGUAUAUUACAAAGUAUAAUUAUUGUUAUAUUUCGAAAUUAGAAUUAUGUUUAUAUUUUAAUUUUCAUACACUUUCAACUAUAAUUUGUAAUAGUGCCGUUGCUACUUAAAUUUUAUGUGGUUUGGAUGCACACUGUUAUAUUCUAUGCUCCUUCAAAAUACAAUUAAGGUUUCACCUUAACGGUUAUAACGCGAGUGAAAAGCAAUAUACACUGUUAUCAUGUGAUUUAAAACAAGUUUUGUUCAAUUAUCUGUAAAGUUCAUUCAUAACUAUUUUAUAACGUGUCUGCUUAAUCCACUUACUAUAUUCAAGCAUUUUGCAUUAUUGUUUUUGUUUAACACUAGAAACUGUAAAGUAAGGUAUAUAUCUUGUUGUAACUUUAAUUGCAUUUAUUAUGUACUGCAUAUUAAUUGUUGGGAUAGUUCCGCAUAUGUAACGUGUUUUUAUUCACGUGUUUUUAUGUCCCCCACUAUAGUAGUGGGGGACAUAUUGUAUUUGCCCUGUCUGUUGGUCUGUUGGUCUGUCUGUCUGUUUGCGCCAACUUUAUUAUUUUGCAAUAACUUUAACUAUAUUGAAGAUAGCAACUUCAUAUUUGGCAUGCAUGUGUAUCUCAUGAAGCUGCACAUUUUGAGUGGUGAAAGGUCAAGGUCAUCCUUCAAGGUCAGAGGACAAAUAUAUGUGGCCCAAAUCGCUUAUUUUAUAAAUACUUUUGCAAUAUUGAAGAUAGCAACUUGAUAUUUGGCAUGCAUGUGCAUCUCAUGGAGCUGCACAUUUUGAGUGGUGAAAUGUCGAGGUCAAGGUCAUCCUUGAAGGUCAGAGGUCAAAUAUAUGUGGCCCAAAUCGCUUAUUUUAUGAAUACUUUUGCAAUAUUGAAGAUAGCAACUUGAUAUUUGGCAUGCAUGUGUAUCUCAUGGAGCUGCACAUUUUGAGUGGUGAAAGGUCAAGGUCAAGGUCAUCCUUCACAAGGUCAAGGUCAUCCUACAAGGUCAAACAUCAUAUAGGGGGACAUUGUGUUUCACAAACGCAUCUUGUUUAAUCUGUCUUUGUGUUUUAACGGUCGCCUUUAAUGGACUGUCAAAACUGUGUUUGAAUGUAUUUAAUCAAUUGCCAUUAUUAUCUUUUUAAUGAAGGUUAUAUUAUAGUAUCGUGUCUGUUCCUAGAUGUAUUCUACGACAAUAUGGCUGCAUUUUUAGAACUGUUAUGCACUGAUUUACAACUAUUAUGUCACAUUAAAUACUGUACUUGUAACAUCUAUAUUUUCAUAGAGCAUAUUACAUGACCUUUUGACCAUCUACAUUUUUUAUUGCGUAGGUGGUCUGUUUAUGGUUUAUGAAAUGCUUGUUUUUAAUAUCAAACGCAACCAGUUAAAACAUUUUGUUUCUCGUGUUUGUUUAACUACAGACACCUUUUCAUAAUGUCAUAAUAUCAGUUUCAUUAAAUAAUAUAUUGUACUAUGUGCAGAGCCUUUGAGCUGCCUAUAUUUUUGUUUCGCAAAGGUAGCAAGCAAGGGCUAAUUCUUAUGAAAUUGAUACAAGCAUGAAAAAAGCAUAAUUGAUAUUUAGUUAAAUACUGUUUGCUAUCACGUGAAACGAAAUUUGUUACGCGGGGUAAGUAAAACGUGUUAUUAUUGUGACAAUUGUCAUGUGAAGACCCAAUAUAUGUACAAUAUGCUUAUUUGAUAUUUUGUUGUCAUAAUUAAGCUCCAUUACAAAUGAUGUAAUACGACCUAUUCAAUUACAUAUAUACUAUCAAUGGUUAUUAAUAUAAUUAUACCUAUAUUUAUGCCCCUCUUCGAAGAAGAGGGGGUAUAUUGCUUUGCUCAUGUCGGUCGGUCUGUUGGUCGGUCGGUCCGUACACCAGGUGGUUUCCGGAUGAUAACUCAAUAACGCUUGGGCCUAGGAUCAUGAAACUUCAUAGGAACAUUGAUCUUUACUCGCAGAUGACCCCUAUUGAUUUUUAGGUCACUAGGUCAAAGGUCAAGGUCACAGUGACAAAAAUCAUAUACACACAAUGGCUGCCACUACAACGGACAGUCCAUAUGGGGGGCAUGCAUGUUUUACAAACAGCCCUUGUUUUUAUAUUGCAUUAAAUUGAGUUUAUUAGCCUCAUACACUCUGACGCACUUAGGAUAUAUUUAAUUACAUGUAUACUUUCGAUAAUUAUUUAUGUUCUAGUGUAAUGUAUAAUAACUCAUAAUGUAUAAUAAUUCAUGUGUGCACCGUUGUAACCAAACGAUUUUAUUUCUUUGCAUAACUUUAUUUUGUAUAAACAUAAACUGUGUAUUGUGGAAACACUGUAUCAUGUAUGCUUGAUUUGUCCACUUGGGCUUUUGGCUUUCUGGAUGGAUUGUUUAAUAAACUAUGUUCUAAAAAAUGCAAA